rnacentral:lncRNA from 1 species
CACGGCGAACAUUUCUUAUAAAUAGUGGUCAAUUACAUCAUAUAAUUUGGUUCUGUACAAAAGAAAGUUUCCUCUUUUGUGUAUAUAUAUCCUAAACACCAUCCCUUGCGAUGAACUCUUUGUCUUUGUCCACAAAUUUGGUUAUUCACCAUCCAGCAUGUCAGUUGCAGUCUCCUGAAGCAUAGGAACAACAUAAGUUAAAACAAUCUGGUCAAACAUACACUAAGAAUAUACUCAUGGGCAUUAUCGACAGAUUAAACCCAAGUUAUAGUGCAACAGGUUCUCUGUAAAGAAUUAACCUGAGAAGGUCGUUCUUCAAGCUAACUCCUAGGUCCUAGCAGAAGAUGAUGCAUCUAAGCGAAGCUGCCUGGAGAUUUCUUAUAUGUCCCUUGCUCUCCACUGCAACAGAUAGUUGGAAUGGCAUAUAAGAUAAGUGUGAGGUACUGACAGAAGAUCACUCUCAAAAGGCACAUUCAGUAUGUGUAUGUAAUGAUAUAGAGGCAUUAUUAAUUAAGUAACCUGAAUAAGUUGUUGCAUAUUUCUUCUAGGGACAACUGUUUACAUAGUUCUUCUAUAUCCAUUGCUCUCUGAUGUAACGAUUAAAAUGGCAAACAAAGUAAUUCUUAGGCAUUGAUAUUACUGACUUACUUGUUCGCAGGCAUAUACUGAAAUCGAGAGCAUAAAGGUAAUAUGUUAUAGCAUAUAUCUGUACUAUAAGUAACAAAAGAGUAGUCUCUUUAAUUUUUUCAACAUAACAGUCUACUUAUCUGAUGCACUUGGACUAACAGGAACAUAAGAAAACACCAAUGACUAAUCAUUUGGAAGGCAGCAUGGCUGAGUCCUACACAUGGCUAGUUAAGCCCUCUUGCCAAGCUGGAAAGUUUCUUACAAAUGCGGAAAUAUCCAUAAGAUUGCAUCUCUCAUGUUCUACUCAAAUAAUAUUUUGUAUAUAUCAGAGGUUUCAAAAGCUAGGUACCAGUUAACUCCUAUCGUGUUUGUUUGUAUAUAUAUAUAUCAUUGGUCUGUUUUAUUCUAGAGCCUUACUAACCAAAUAAAGAUCAAAAUUUUGAAGUAAAUUCUAUGCCUAGAAACCAAAUAAGAAACAACAACAACAACAACAACAACAAAGCCUUUAGUCCCAAGCAAGUUGGGGUAGGCUAGAGGUGAAACCCAUAAGAUCUCGCAACCAACUCAUGGCUCUGGCACAUGGAUAGCAAGCUUCCAUGCACCCCUGUCCAUAGCUAGCUCUUCGGUGAUACCCCAAUCCUUCAGGACUCUCUUAACGGACUCCUCCCAUGUCAAAUCCUAGAAACCAAAUAAGAACUACACUAAAAAUAUUUAUGAAUUACUACAACUAUACAGACCAUUUUAGACUAGUUUAGUAUGAGACUGUAAUCAAGAAUAAUGAAUGUAGGUGAUCUGAUAUCUUGUUCGAACAAUAAAAUAAAUAAGGACAGAUAGGCAAUGGAUUUGACCAACAAACCAAAUACUUCUAGAUCUGUACGAACUUCUAAAGAAUUGAUCAAAUCUUAAAAGUUGGAAAGGCUAAGCAGAUAGAGUAAUGAUAUGUUACAGGAAUAAGCAAGCAUGUCCGCUGACCAUACAUAGUAGUUGAUUAGCGAUGAUGCACUCAAUGUGAAGCGGUGUUUCCAUGCCUAUCAGGAUAAAGGUAUUCUUUUCUGCAAGGAUAAACAUGGAAGUGGAGUGAUCAAGCACACCGAAAAGAGUUUUCAUGAAUUAAAAUUAAGAAACAGAAUAUGGAAAUAAGUGUUUUGAAACAUAGAACUUUGGAGCUGCACAAAAGAUGCAACUGAAGAGGAGGACACCCCUAAAUGAAAACAUCGAGUUAAAAAAUUAAGCUAGCAAACCAGUCUGGCCUAUUAUAUAUCCCACAUGGACAGUAGCACCUACAUAUUGAAGCAACAAAAUUGACCAAAAAAAUCCCCAUAUAUGAACAUCACAAUCAGUGGGCAUUAACUAAACAUAAAUUAAGCAUAGAUGUUGUCGAGUAGAAGCUAAUAUUAUAGGAUAGGUGACCUAAAGUGAAACACAUGACAUAACACAAAGUUAAAGUAUGCUUAGCGGAGGAAUUUAGCAACAACACAUGGGAACAGAUCUGGGCUGUACCUAUAGGUAAUUAAUCUCUGCAUAGAUGGCGCAGAGUAGUAACUGCCUUGAUUUCUUUGCUGUCCCAGCCCCCUGUCCAAUAGCACAUCUCCCUUUUAGAAAUUAUCGUGGUCAGAAAUGAACAAUCGCUAUGUCUAUCUAGGCUUAAAGAACGCAUAGGUAGACAGACAAUAUAUGAAUUGACACCUUUCUUUUGGUCAUCUACCCCUGGUCAUCCUUAUCAUUCUUUCCUUCAACAGAAGAUGAAAGAGCUUCAGCCUUAUCAUCAGACUUCUCCUGGUGCACCUAGAAAACCAAGUAGUUUGGUAACGGAGCAAGAUGAGAUAUUAAUAUCCAAAGGUAAAUAAAUUGGCACGGGCAGGUUUCAGCUCACUCAAUCAGUUACACAGCUUCGAAUAGAAUUUCUUUAUGGCCAUCUAUAUAUUUUUAUCUCCGUAAAACAUGCGACACUAAGUUUUCUUCCUCAUGUGAGAUAAGCAUUUGAUUGUACAAUUGUGCAAUUGAGCAAGGCAUGAGAGAAAGCUAUAUCAACACAGCAGCUGUAAGUUUUCUUCCUCAUGUGAGAUAAGCAUUUGACUGUACAAUUGCGCAAUCAAGCAAGGCAUGAGAGAAAGCUAUAUCAACACAUCAGUUAUCUUUUGGUGUACAAUCGAGUUGCUUUCAUAUCUUUCCC